ensembl:miRNA mdo-mir-7262m mdo-mir-7262m
CCAGAGGUCUUAGAGUGAGCAGUUUUCAGUUGUUAAUGUUAUUUAACUAUUAAAGGUAGAACUGCUCUAAGACCUUUGGGG